UACGGAGGGGGCUAGCGUUGUUCGGAAUUACUGGGCGUAAAGCGCACGUAGGCGGCUUUGUAAGUUAGAGGUGAAAGCCCAGGGCUUAACCCUGGAAUUGCCUUUAAGACUGCAUCGCUUGAAUUGUGGAGAGGUGAGUGGAAUUCCGAGUGUAGAGGUGAAAUUCGUAGAUAUUCGGAAGAACACCAGUGGCGAAGGCGACUUACUGGACACAUAUUGACGCUGAGGUGCGAAAGCGUGGGGAGCAAACAGG
rnacentral:rRNA from 1 species